UCCGGCCGCAGCCGGCGUGGGGGAGCGGGGCGCCGCUGGAUCCGGUGGUGGCGCGCAGUGUCCGGCGGUUCCAGCACCCGCCGGACGAAGC
rnacentral:tRNA from 1 species